UUUCCGUAGGUGAACCUGCGGAAGGAUCAUUAACGAAGCCAUUUAGGCACCAUUCUGUGAAUUUAUAAUUGUUUUGCCGUUGUCUUUAGUUUUCUUUUAAACUGAAGCAACGGCAACAUUUAACUCUAAAAUUUUUGUUUGUCUGAUAAAAGAUUAAAAUAAUCAAAACUUUCAACAACGGAUCUCUUGGUUCUC
rnacentral:misc_RNA from 1 species